CCUACGGGUGGCUGCAGUGGGGAAUAUUGGACAAUGGGCGAAAGCCUGAUCCAGCCAUGCCGCGUGUGUGAAGAAGGCCUUCGGGUUGUAAAGCACUUUCAGUGGGGAAGAAAGCCUUGGGGCUAAUACCCUCGAGGAAGGACAUCACCCACAGAAGAAGCACCGGCUAACUCCGUGCCAGCAGCCGCGGUAAUACGGAGGGUGCGAGCGUUAAUCGGAAUUACUGGGCGUAAAGCGCGCGUAGGCGGUCUGAUAAGCCGGUUGUGAAAGCCCCGGGCUCAACCUGGGAACGGCAUCCGGACCUGUCAGGCUAGAGUGCAGGAGAGGAAGGUAGAAUUCCCGGUGUAGCGGUGAAAUGCGUAGAGAUCGGGAGGAAUACCAGUGGCGAAGGCGGCCUUCUGGACUGACACUGACGCUGAGGUGCGAAAGCGUGGGUAGCAAACAGGAUUAGAUACCCGAGUAGUC
rnacentral:rRNA from 1 species